GACUUCUUCAGUGGUCCAGUGGUUAGAGCAUCCGCCUCAGAUGCGGGAGGUCGCAGGUUAAAACCCCGGCUAAGUCA